CGAGGACGGUUCAGGACCGUCAUCGGCAUUUUCCCAUUGCCGACCGCUGACGGUCCUGAACCGUCCCAACGGUCCUAGUUACUUACCUGAUCGCGUCGUUCCCCCAGCGGCGAUCAGUGUUGCUCCCGUUGUAGGGAGACUGCCUGCAGCCCAGACAGUCUCCCCACACUGGAUUAGGACCCCUGUGGCCACGUGAUCGCUUAACACAGCGAUCACAUGGUCACAAUAGGUGUCCAUGUGUCU